UCUCCGGGAAUCGCCCACACGAGCCAGAUGCCGCCCUCUCCUUCCGGUGGCGGCCGCGCGGGGCCCGCUCCCCAGGACGCCGGCCCCUGAGUGCCCGCGCGGCCCGGCGACUCUGCCGCCCCAAGUUCGCCCGCCGCCUCACGAGCGCCAACGCGUCUCGCACUUGGCAGACAGCGAGCAGGUUCUCCAGCACAGUGUUGAACAGAAGUAGCAAGAGUGGAUAUCCUUUUCUUUGUCCUAAUCCGAGGGCGAAAGUAUCCAGUCUUUCACCAUCAUAAACAAAAGGCUUAAGGAAGGGAAGUGACUUGACCAAACUCGUACCAGUUGCUGGGCAAAGUCAGAACCGGAAACACAAGGUACGUCUUCUUCUGUGUAUGUAAAAGGCUGAAAACACAAAAGACUGUGGUAUUUAUAUGCAUUUGUGUCCAAUUUGUUUCUAGUACUUUUCUUCCCCCACUCUUAUCUUUUCACCCAAAUUUCCCAACUCCUCACAUAGACUAUUUUGGAAAUUAGAAACCAUUUUUAAUGCAAAUAAUGCCUUUUUUAAAAAAGUUAUAAACACCCACAACAUCUUUAUGCUUAGUGACUUGAUGCCAACUAUAUAUACUUAUGGGUGGAUGGGUAUAUCUGGAUCUAUAAAUGGCAUUUGUAUAUUCAUAUACAUUUGUAUACCAGAUUUCCAAAUCUAGUUGUUUUCCCCCACCUUCCGGAAAGAAAGCAUCCCUGACAUUUUGAUAGCAUAGCCAUAUCUGUACAGUUCCAUCAUGGCAGUUUGCAUUACAUACUUGUUUGUGGUAAAGGCAAAAAUAAAUCUUGAUAGUUUUCUUCCGUUGAUAUUUUACCAUCUUUUGCUAGGGAAGAUGAAAGCACAAGCAAUCAGUGCUCUUCUGUGGAAGGGAAGAAGAGUUAGUUAGAUCUAAAUAAAAAUAAGCAGCAUCUCAGGCUUGACAAACUUUUCUAGAGAAUUCUUUUUUCCCAUACUCUGCAGAGAGCCCCUAGCAUGGAGCAUGUGUCUGCCAGCUAAUAGAUGUGUCAUGCAAAACUUAUUCUGUGCUUUCUCUAAUCACCACCUGAAACACAGAACUAAAGCACACAAUCUAAUUUAUUUUAAUGUUUGCCCUCAUACUUUAAAAUAAGCAUUAUUUUGGAACUUUGAUUGGGUCGCCAUGCUCUUGUGUGACAUGAGGCUCUCUUAAACUUUGUUACUACCUCAGCAUAUUACUCGUCUGACAUAAAAUUAAUUAAUCAAUCAAUCAAUUAAUCAAACAUUCCUUGUGACUAUACUUGGCAAGUUUUCUAUUUAAACUGCACAUAGAGACAAAACAAAACAAAAAACCUAGAUUAUUAAAUGCAAAGAACAAAUUAGUGGUUACCAGAGGGGAGGUGGGUAAGGGGAUGGGUGAAAUAGAUAAAGGGGAUUAAGAGUACACUUACCUUGAUGAGCACAUGAUGAGAAAUGUGUAGACUUGUUGAAUCAUUACAUUGUACACCUGACACUAAUAUAACACUGUAUGUUAAUUAUACUGGAAUAAAAAAAUAAAAAUAAAUACAUCUCAUACCUAAAAAAUAAAUAAGUAAAUAAACUGCAUAUAGGCAUACAUGUGAGUUUGGUUCCAGAUCACUUCAAUGAAGCAAAUAUUGCAAUAAAGCAAGUCAAAUGAA